GACGAACGCUGGCGGCGUGCUUAACACAUGCAAGUCGAACGGAAAGGCCCUGCUUUUGUGGGGUGCUCGAGUGGCGAACGGGUGAGUAACACGUGAGUAACCUGCCCUUGACUUUGGGAUAACUUCAGGAAACUGGGGCUAAUACCGGAUAGGAGCUCCUGCUGCAUGGUGGGGGUUGGAAAGUUUCGGCGGUUGGGGAUGGACUCGCGGCUUAUCAGCUUGUUGGUGGGGUAGUGGCUUACCAAGGCUUUGACGGGUAGCCGGCCUGAGAGGGUGACCGGCCACAUUGGGACUGAGAUACGGCCCAGACUCCUACAGGAGGCAGCAGUGGAGAAUAUUGCACAGUGGGCGGGAGCCUGAUGCAGCAACGCCGCGUGCGGGAUGACGGCCUUCGGGUUGUAAACCGCUUUCGCCUAUGACGAAGCGUGAGUGACGGUAAUAGGUAAAGAAGCACCGGCUAACUACGUG
rnacentral:rRNA from 1 species